CUUACUGCAUUUUUUCUUACACAUGUGUUUUUCUUUUUUUGAAAACUUUGCUUUGGUAGGCCUUCUAUAUGGGGCCUGCCAGAGAUUAAACUCAACCAAAUUUUAUUUAAUGUCAACCGAUUAUUUAAUAGUCAAAACUUUCAACAACGGAUCUCUUGGUUCUCGCAUCGAUGAAGAACGCAGCGAAAUGCGAUAAGUAAUAUGAAUUGCAGAUAUUCGUGAAUCAUCGAAUCUUUGAACGCACAUUGCGCCCUUUGGUAUUCCAAAGGGCAUGCCUGUUUGAGCGUCAUUUCUCCCUCAAACCCUCGGGUUUGGUGUUGAGCGAUACGCUGGGUUUGCUUGAAAGAAAGGCGGAGUAUAAACUAAUGGAUAGGUUUUUUCCACUCAUUGGUACAAACUCCAAAACUUCUUCCAAAUUCGACCUCAAAUCAGGUAGGACUACCCGCUGAACUUAAGCAUAUCAAUAAGCGGGGAAAAAGAAAACCCCUU
rnacentral:rRNA from 1 species